AUACUUACCUGGCGCGCGGGGAUACCGUGAUCAAGAAGAGGCGGUUGCCUCCAGGACGACGAGGCCUGUACAUUGCACUCCGUAUGGGCUGGACUCCUGCGACUACCCCCCAAACGGGGUGGCUCCGAGCGCAUCAAUUUUUGGUAGUGGGGACAAGCGUUUCGCGCUGUCCCUU
rnacentral:snRNA from 1 species